rnacentral:lncRNA from 1 species
GAACCAGCAGGUUCCUGACAACAAGCAAGGCCAUUAUGCUGUCAUUAAGAGCUCUUUCAUCCCAUGCAGAAUAUGCAGAAUGCCUCAACUGUAUUACUUGGAACAGAAAAAGUAUGUGAGAACCUCUGUAGAACAAUUAUUAAAUUAGUCAAAUGGACUCUGGAGAUGAUUUCCAAGGCAAGAAGCAAGUGA